CCUUGUUGAACUUGAACCCUUCUUUGAUAUGGUAGCCUUAGGGCUAUAAUACACCUUGUUACGGUGAUGAUGACCAUCUAAUCCCCAUCCAUAGCUCUUGCAUGAUUUUAUCAUCUUAGCUCUUACAUGAACUACUUUCUUUGGUAGGUCUUCAAUGCUCUUCACGUUUGCUAGCGAUGUGAAUGACUGUGAUUUCCCACAGUAAUGCUUUGAUAGCCCUCUCCUACAAAUACAUAUAUAAACAAUUAAUCGACCUAAACAUGGGGGCAAAAUAGAUGCAUGCAUGCAUGUAUGAUGAUGCUUACUUGAUAGGUAGUUGAGCCAUCAUCUCAGAUAACUCAUAAAGUGGCCCAUUCGAUGAUGAUGCAGAAGAUGUAGCAUCAUCAACCAAGUCUGAUGAAGAAGCUAUUGAAGCAUUAAUGGAGUUUUCAAAGGAGGAUUCAUCACUUUCCAUUUUCUUC
rnacentral:lncRNA from 1 species